AACGAACGCUGGCGGCAGGCUUAACACAUGCAAGUCGAACGGGUGUAGCAAUACACCAGUGGCAGACGGGUGAGUAACACGUGGGAACCUUCCUCGUUGUACGGGACAACUCAGGGAAACUUGAGCUAAUACCGUAUACGUCCGAGAGGAGAAAGAUUUAUCGCAAUGAGACGGGCCCGCGUCGGAUUANCUAGUUGGUAGGGUAACGGCCUACCAAGGCGACGAUCCGUAGCUGANCUGAGGGGAGUGAUCAGCCACACUGGGAC
rnacentral:rRNA from 1 species